AGGGAUAUAGCACAGUGGCACAGCACCUGCCUGGCAAGCACAAGAUCCUGAGUUUAAUUCUUGGUACCUCCU
rnacentral:tRNA from 1 species